CAGUCGCCACGGGAAUACGAAGGGUGCAAGCGUUAAUCGGAAUUACUGGGCGUAAGGCGUGCGUAGGCGGUGAGUUAAGUCUGCUGUGAAAUCCCCGGGCUCAACCUGGGAAUGGCAGUGGAUACUGGCUCGCUAGAGUGUGUCAGAGGAUGGUGGAAUUCCCGGUGUAGCGGUGAAAUGCGUAGAGAUCGGGAGGAACAUCAGUGGCGAAGGCGGCCAUCUGGGACAACACUGACGCUGAGGCACGAAAGCGUGGGGAGCAAACAGGAUUAGAUACCCCCGUAGUCCCUGUCUCUUAUAC
rnacentral:rRNA from 1 species